rnacentral:rRNA from 1 species
UGGGGAAUAUUGGACAAUGGGCGAAAGCCUGAUCCAGCAAUGCCGCGUGAGUGAUGAAGGCCUUAGGGUUGUAAAGCUCUUUUACCCGGGAUGAUAAUGACAGUACCGGGAGAAUAAGCCCCGGCUAACUCCGUGCCAGCAGCCGCGGUAAUACGGAGGGGGCUAGCGUUGUUCGGAAUUACUGGGCGUAAAGCGCGCGUAGGCGGCUUUGUAAGUUAGAGGUGAAAGCCCGGAGCUCAACUCCGGAACUGCCUUUAAGACUGCAUCGCUAGAAUUGUGGAGAGGUGAGUGGAAUUCCGAGUGUAGAGGUGAAAUUCGUAGAUAUCAAGCAGAACACCUGCGGCGAAGGCGGCCUUCUGGACGAUGACUGACGCUGAGACGCGAAAGCGUGGGGAGCAAA